rnacentral:rRNA from 1 species
AACAGAGGAUGCGAGCGUUAUCCGGAUUGACUGGGCGUAAAGCGUCUGUAGGUGGUUAUUUAAGUCUCAUGUUAAAUACUAGAGCUCAACUUUAGCCCAGCAUAAGAAACUAGAUAACUUGAGUACGAUAGAAGCAAUAAGAAUUCCCAGUGUAGCGGUGAAAUGCGCAGAGCUUGGGAGGAAUACCAGAGGCGAAAGCGUGUUGCUAGGUCGUUACUGACAUUCAAGGACGAAAGCUAGGGUAGCAAAUGGG